GACAGAGGGUGCGAACGUUGUUCGGAAUUACUGGGCGUAAAGCGCGUGUAGGCUGUUCGGAAAGUCGGGUGUGAAAGCCCUGGGCUCAACCUAGGAAGUGCACUCGAAACUCCCGAACUGGAGUCCCGGAGAGGAAGGUGGAAUUCUCGGUGUAGAGGUGAAAUUCGUAGAUAUCGAGAGGGACAUCGGUGGCGAAGGCGGCCUUCUGGACGGUGACUGACGCUGAGACGCGAAAGCGUGGGGAGCAAACAGG
rnacentral:rRNA from 1 species